rnacentral:tRNA from 1 species
GGUGGCUCAGUGGUAGAGCGCUUGCCUUUCAUGCAUGAGGCCCUGAGGCCCUGGGUUUGAUUCCUCAGCACCA